ACACGGACUGCGCGAACGUUAUUCGGAAUCACUGGGCUUAAAGCGUCCGUAGGCAGCUCUGCAGGUGGGGUGUGAAAUCCCUCGGCUCAACCGAGGAAUUGCGCUCCAAACCACAGAGCUUGAGGGGGAUAGAGGUGAGCGGAACUCACGGUGGAGCGGUGAAAUGCGUUGAUAUCGUGAGGAACACCGGUGGCGAAAGCGGCUCACUGGGUCUCUUCUGACGCUGAGGGACGAAAGCUAGGGGAGCAAA
rnacentral:rRNA from 1 species